rnacentral:rRNA from 1 species
GACGAACGCUGGCGGCGUGCUUAACACAUGCAAGUCGAACGGAAAGGCCCUGCUUUUGUGGGGUGCUCGAGUGGCGAACGGGUGAGUAACACGUGAGUAACCUGCCCUUGACUUUGGGAUAACUUCAGGAAACUGGGGCUAAUACCGGAUAGGAGCUCCUGCUGCAUGGUGGGGGUUGGAAAGUUUCGGCGGUUGGGGAUGGACUCGCGGCUUAUCAGCUUGUUGGGGGGGUAGUGGCUUACCAAGGCUUUGACGGGUAGCCGGCCUGAGAGGGUGACCGGCCACAUUGGGACUGAGAUACGGCCCAGACUCCUACGGGAGGCAGCAGUGGGGAAUAUUGCACAAUGGGCGGAAGCCUGAUGCAGCAACGCCGCGUGCGGGAUGACGGCCUUCGGGUUGUAACCCGCUUUCGCCUGUGACGAAGCGUGAGUGACGGUAAUGGGUAAAGAAGCACCGGCUAACUACGUG